rnacentral:rRNA from 1 species
GUAUCUUCGGAUAUGAGUAGAGCGGCGGACGGGUGAGUAACGCGUAGGAAUCUACCUAGUAGAAGGGGAUAGCCCGGGGAAACCCGGAUUAAUACCGUAUACCUCCUUCGGGAGAAAGAAGGCCUCUCUUUGAAGCUUUCGCUACUAGAUGAGCCUGCGUAAGAUUAGCUUGUUGGUGAGGUAAAGGCUCACCAAGGCUACGAUCUUUAGCUGGUCUGAGAGGACGAUCAGCCACAUUGGGACUGAGACACGGCCCAGACUCCUACGGGAGGCAGCAGUGGGGAAUAUUGGACAAUGGGCGCAAGCCUGAUCCAGCCAUACCGCGUGUGUGAAGAAGGCCUUCGGGUUGUAAAGCACUUUAAGCAGGGAGAAAAAGUUAUAAGCUAAUAUCUUAUGACCUUGAUGUUACCUGCAGAAUAAGCACCGGCUAAUUCCGUGCCAGCAGCCGCGGUAAUACGGAAGGUGCAAGCGUUAAUCGGAAUUACUGGGCGUAAAGCGCGCGUAGGUGGUUUGUUAAGUUGGAUGUGAAAGCCCUGGGCUCAACCUAGGAACUGCAUCCAAAACUAACUCACUAGAGUACGAUAGAGGGAGGUAGAAUUCAUAGUGUAGCGGUGGAAUGCGUAGAUAUUAUGAAGAAUACCAGUGGCGAAGGCGGCCUCCUGGAUCUGUACUGACACUGAGGUGCGAAAGCGUGGGUAGCGAACAGGAUUAGAUACCCUGGUAGUCCACGCCGUAAACGAUGACAACUAGCUG